rnacentral:rRNA from 1 species
UUCGCAAUGCCCGAAAGGGUGACGAAGCGACGCCGCAUGUGGGAAGAAGGCCUUCGGGCUGUAAACCACUGUCGGGAGUUAAGAAAUGCAAGGAUAUGAAUAGUAUCUUUGCUUGACUAAGGCUCCGGAGGAAGCCACGGCUAACUCUGUGCCAGCAGCCGCGGUAAUACAGAGGCGGCAAGCGUUGUUCGGAAUUAUUGGGCGUAAAGAGCACGUAGGCGGCUCUGCAAGUCAGCUGUGAAAGCCUUCUGCUUAACGGAAGAACGGCAGUUGAAACUACAGGGCUUGAGUGCGGGAGGGGAGAGUGGAACUUCUGGUGGAGCGGUGAAAUGCGUAGAUAUCAGAAGGAACGCCGGCGGCGAAAGCGGCUCUCUGGUCCGUAACUGACGCUGAGUGUGCGAAAGCUAGGGGAGCAAACGGGAUUAGAUACCCCGGUAGUCCUAGCCGUAAACGAUGGGCACUAAGUAGAGGGGUUUU